rnacentral:tRNA from 1 species
GCCUGGAUGGCUCAGUCAGUGGAGCAUGUGACUCUUGAUCUCAGGGUUGUGGGUAUGAGCCCCACGUUGGGUG